rnacentral:rRNA from 1 species
AGAGUUUGAUCAUGGCUCAGAAUGAACGUUGGCGGCGUGGAUUAGGCAUGCAAGUCGAGCGAGAACCCGCAAGGGGGACAGCGGCGAACGGGGUAGGAAUACGUAGGUAACGUACCCUCGGGGCGAGGACAGCCACGGGAAACUGUGGGUAAUACUCGAUAAACUUCCCAAUCAUUAUGGAAGGGGAAGCAAUGGGUGUGAUUCCACCUGAGGAGCGGCUUACGCAGUAUCAGCUAGUUGGUGAGGUAACGGCUCACCAAGGCUACGACGCUUAGGGGGUGUGAGAGCAUGGCCCCCACCACUGGCACUGAGACACUGGCCAGACACCUACGGGUGGCUGCAGUCGAGAAUCUUCGGCAAUGGACGCAAGUCUGACCGAGCGACGCCGCGUGUGGGAUGAAGGUCUUCGGAUUGUAAACCACUGUCAGAGGGGAUGAAGUGUACGAGAGUUAUCUCUUGUAUUUGACGGAGCCUCAGAGGAAGCACGGGCUAAGUUCGUGCCAGCAGCCGCGGUAAUACGAACUGUGCGAACGUUAUUCGGAAUCACUGGGCUUAAAGGGUGCGUAGGCGGUUAUCUAAGUCAGGUGUGAAAUCUCUCGGCUCAACCGGGAAACUGCGCUUGAAACUGGAUGACUGGAGUGAUGCAGGGGUGUGUGGAACUUCCGGUGGAGCGGUGAAAUGUGUAGAUAUCGGAAGGAACGCCAGCAGCGAAAGCGGCACACUGGGCAUUUUCUGACGCUGAGGCACGAAAGCUAGGGGAGUGAACGGGAUUAGAUACCCCGGUAAUCCUAGCCGUAAACACUGAACACUGGGGGAGGGAGGCUUCGGCCUUCUUUCCCGUAGCGAAAGCGUUAAGUGUUCCGCCUGGGGAGUAUGGUCGCAAGGCUGAAACUCAAAUGAAUUGACGG